rnacentral:lncRNA from 10 species
GAUAAAGAGAAAAUUUUUAAAAGCAGCCAGAGGAAAAAAAGAUACAAUAUAUACAGAGAAACCAAGAUAAGAAUUACUGCAUACUUAUAGUCUAAAGCUAUGCAAGCCAGAAGACAAUGGAGUGGUAUCUUUGAAGUGCCAAAAGGAAAAAAAAAAGGACAAUUUGAAAACAAGUGAAAAUAUCCUUCAAAAAUGAAGGCAAAAUAAUGUGGUUUUUUUUUUUUUUUUUUUUUUUUUUUUGAGACAGACUCUGUUGCCCAGGCUGGAGUGCAGUGGCAUGAUCUUGGCUCACUGCAAUCUCUGCCUCCCAGGUUCAAGCAAUUAUCCUGCCUUAGCCUCCCAAGUAGCUGGGAUCACAGGCAUCUGCCACCAUGCCUGGCUAAUUUUUGUAUUUUUAGUAGAGAUGGGGUUUCACCAUGUUGGCCAGGCUGGUCUUGAACUCAGCCUCAAGUGAUCCACCUGUCUCGGCCUCCCAAAGUGCUGGGAUUACAGGCGUGCACCACCACACCCAGCUGUUUUCUUUUGAGACUGAUCAAGAGAAAAGAAGACUCAAAUUACCAGUAUCUAGGAAAAGAGAGAACACUGCCAGAUGCGGUGGUGCACGCCUAUAGUCCCAGCUAUUCAGGAGGCUGAGGUGGGAGCACUGCUUAGACCAGGAGUUCUUGGCUGUAAUAUGCAUGCCAGUCAGGUGUCUGCACUAUGUUUGGCAUCAGUAUGGUGACCUCCUGGGAGCAUGGGGACACCAGGUUGCCUAAGGAGGGGUGAACUGUCCCAGGCUGGAAAUGAAGCAGGUAAAAACUGCUGUGCUGAUCAGCAGUGGGAUUGUGCCUGUGAAUAGUCACCUCACUCCAGCCUGGGCAAUACAGUGAGACCCUGUCUCUUAAAAAAAAAAAGAGAGAAAACACUACUAAGAUUCUACAUUAAUUAAGGGAAUAGUAAGAGGAUAUUAUGAAUGACUAUGCAAAUACAUUUGAAAACAGAUGAAAUGGAAGAAUUCAUUGGAAGAAACAUGUUUCCAACAAUGACACAAGAAAAAACAUUCCUAAAUAUACAUAUUUUAAUGAAAGUAUUUAAAGUCAUAAUUACAAAUUGUCUCAUAAGGGAAAUUCACAGGCUGAGAUGAUGUCACUGGUGAAUUGUAUCAAACAUCUAAGGAAGGAAUAAUAGAAUCCUUCAUCCAUGCAGAAGUUUCAGAAAAUAGAAUUGGGCAGUACACAUUCCAACUCAUUUUAUUAGGCCAGUAUUACUUUGAUUUCAAA